rnacentral:tRNA from 1 species
GUUGUGGCUCAGUGGUAGCCCACUUGCCUAGCAUGUGUGAGGCACUGAGUUCAAUCCUCAGCAUCACA